UACAGAGGUCUCAAGCGUUGUUCGGAUUCAUUGGGCGUAAAGGGUGCGUAGGUGGCGGGGUAAGUCAGGUGUGAAAUUUCGGAGCUUAACUCCGAAACUGCAUUUGAUACUGGCAGACUUGAGUGUGGUAGAGGCAAUCGGAAUUCCAGGUGUAGCGGUGAAAUGCGUAGAUAUCUGGAAGAACACCGGUGGCGCAAGCGGAUUGCUGGGCCAUAACUGACACUGAGGAACGAAAGCUAGGGGAGCGAAUGGG
rnacentral:rRNA from 1 species